GGGUGCGACCAUACCAGCACUAACGCACCGAAUCCCAUCAGAACUCCGAAGUUAAGUGUGUUUGGGCGAGAGUAGUACUAGGAUGGGUGACCCCCUGGGAAGUCCUCGUGUUGCACCCC
rnacentral:rRNA from 1 species